rnacentral:rRNA from 1 species
AUUGAACGCUGGCGGCAGGCCUAACACAUGCCAGUCGGGCGAGUGGCGGACGGGUGAGUAAUGUAUGGGGAACUGCCUGAUGGAGGGGGAUAACUACUGGAAACGGUAGCUAAUACCGCAUACCAUCGGAUGUACCCAUAUGGGAUUAGCUAGUAGGUGAGGUAACGGCUCACCUAGGCGACGAUCCCUAGCUGGUCUGAGAGGAUGACCAGCCACACUGGAACUGAGACACGGCCCAGACUCCUACGUGAGGCAGCAGUGGGGAAUAUUGCACAAUGGGCGCAAGCCUGAUGCAGCCAUGCCGCGUGUAUGAAGAAGGCCUUCGGGUUGUAAAGUACUUUCAGUGAGGAGGCGUUACUCGCAGAAGAAGCACCGGCUAACUCCGUGCCAGCAGCCGCGGUAAUAC